rnacentral:rRNA from 1 species
UAACGAAUAUUCCGCAAUGCGCGAAAGCGUGACGGAGCAAUGCCGCGUGCAGGAUGAAGCAUCUAGGUGUGUAAACUGCUGUCAGGGACUAGGAAUUUUGACCAAUCCCAGAGGAAGAACCGGCUAACUCGGUGCCAGCAGCCGCGGUAAUACCGAGGGUUCGAGCGUUAAUCGGAAUCACUGGGCUUAAAGGGUGCGCAGGCGGACAGGCAAGUGCCUUGUGAAAUCCCACGGCUCAACCGUGGAAUGGCUCGGCAGACUGCUUGUCUUGAACCCGACAGGGGCCGUCGGAACUGUAGGUGGAGCGGUGAAAUGCGUAGAUAUCUACAGGAACGCCAAAGGCGAAGGCAGGCGGCUGGGUCGGUGUUGACGCUCAUGCACGAAAGCGUGGGUAGCGAACGGGAUUAGAUACCCCCGUAGUCC